rnacentral:tRNA from 1 species
GAGGGUGUAGCUCAGUGGCAGAGUGCAUGCUUAGCAUGCACAAGGUCAUGGGUUCAAUCCCCAGUAUCUCCA